UCUUCAAGUAUCAAUGUCAGCUCAGACAGUGUGUCCAAAGCCCUCUGUAUGUGUUUAUUCUUCUUUUCCCGGUGCAUAGUCACAUAAGUAAAUGGGCACAGGUCCCUUUGGGGCAGGACUGUGGAAAUCAUUACAGUUUAUACUUACGGUGUUGCAUAGUGGUUCCUUAGGAGCAGCCGUCUCUCCAUCACUGCAUUAUGGGUCUGAAAAUCAUCUCAGAUGCAGGAACUGAAGAGUGAAUUAUGAAUUUUUAUUGGCACAACCACCUUUGUCCUGCUGCAUCUCUGUUCUUGCCUGUUUCUGAUGAUAGAUGGCAAAUGGCAAUCUCUUUGGCUGCCCUUCUAUUUUUCCCCUGGAGACACCAGAUUCUUAGGUAUGACACGGAAUGCAAGGUCAGUAGCAGAAAGCAGUGAAUGGUAAGUUGGUUCUGCUUGUGAUCCAAGAAGGAAGUAAAAGACAUUCAAGGUAAAUACCGUGAAGACACAGAAGCCAAGGAGGUGAUGUGCCAGAAGCUAUCGUGGAAAGCUGGGGCCAAGGAUUAGGAGCUGAACACCACUAAGAAAAGUCUCAGAUCCAGCUCCUCCUCUGGCUACAGUUACACAAUGUUACAUACCUAGGCUCCAAAAGCAGAUGGAUUUGCAUUGGAACCCUAGGGCUCCUGUCUGCUGUGUGACUUUGAACAAGGCUCCUGACCCUCUCUGCCUUUGAUUCCUCAUUGGUAAAUAGGUACAUACUAGUGACAUCACAGGUUGGUUAUGAAGUCACAUCACAGGUUUUAAAUGAAAUAAUAUAAAGAAAAAGGGAAUGAAUAAAAGCUUAGCUUAACCUACAUAAAGCUCUAUAUACUUAAUUGUUGUUACUCUUAUUAUUCUAUGCCAGUAUAAGCCCUCAAGUGUUUUCAAUGUGUUUUAAAAGAUUUCUAACUGGUCUCCCUAACAUAAGACCCAAUAAAUUCAUUGUCUUGAUUGUCAGAAUUAUAUUUUAAAAAACUAAAUCUGAUCAUGUCACUUCCCUGCCCCAAAGCCUCUAAUGUUCUUGUU